rnacentral:rRNA from 1 species
AGAGUUUGAUCAUGGCUCAGGAUGAACGCUGGCGGCGUGCCUAAUACAUGCAAGUCGAACGCGGGCACUUGUGCCCGAGUGGCGAACGGGUGAGUAAUACAUAAGUAACCUGGCCUUUACAGGGGGAUAACUGCUGGAAACGGCAGCUAAGACCGCAUAGGUAGGGACACUGCAUGGUGACCGUAUUAAAAGUGCUGCAAGGCACUGGUAGAGGAUGGACUUAUGGCGCAUUAGCUGGUUGGUGAGGUAACGGCUCACCAAGGCGACGAUGCGUAGCCGACCUGAGAGGGUGACCGGCCACACUGGGACUGAGACACGGCCCAGACUCCUACGGGAGGCAGCAGUAGGGAAUUUUCGGCAAUGGGGGGAACCCUGACCGAGCAACGCCGCGUGAAGGAAGAAGGAAUUCGUUCUGCAAACUUCUGUUAUAAAGGAAGAAAGACAGAUGGAGGAAAUGACAUCCGAGUGACGGUACUUUAUGAGAAAGCCACGGCUAACUACGUGCCAGCAGCCGCGGUAAUACGUAGGUGGCAAGCGUUAUCCGGAAUUAUUGGGCGUAAAGAGGGAGCAGGCGGCAGCAAAGGUCUGUGGUGAAAGACUGAAGCUUAACUUCAGUAAGCCAUAGAAACCGGGCAGCUAGAGUGCAGGAGAGGAUCGAGGAAAUUCCAUGUGUACCGGUGAAAUGCGUAGAUAUAUGGAGGAACACCAGUGGCGAAGGCGACGAUCUGGCCUGCAACUGACGCUCAGUCCCGAAAGCGUGGGGAGCAAAUAGGAUUAGAUACCCUAGUAGUCCACGCCGUAAACGAUGAGUACUAAGUGUUGGAAGUCAAAUUUCAGUGCUGCAGUUAACGCAGUAAGUACUCCGCCUGAGUAGUACGUUCGCAAGAAUGAAACUCAAAGGAAUUGACGGGGGCCCGCACAAGCGGUGGAGCAUGUGGUUUAAUUCGAAGCAACGCGAAGAACCUUACCAGGUCUUGACAUACUCAUAAAGGAUCCAGAGAUGGAUAGAUAGUUAUAUGAGAUACAGGUGGUGCAUGGUUGUCGUCAGCUCGUGUCGUGAGAUGUUGGGUUAAGUCCCGCAACGAGCGCAACCCUUGUCGUUAGUUACCAUCAUUAAGUUGGGGACUCUAGCGAGACUGCCAGUGACAAGCUGGAGGAAGGCGGGGAUGACGUCAAAUCAUCAUGCCCCUUAUGACCUGGGCUACACACGUGCUACAAUGGAUGGUGCAGAGGGAAGCGAAGCCGCGAGGCGAAGCAAAACCCAUAAAACCAUUCUCAGUUCGGAUUGUAGUCUGCAACUCGACUACAUGAAGUUGGAAUCGCUAGUAAUCGCGAAUCAGCAUGUCGCGGUGAAUACGUUCUCGGGCCUUGUACACACCGCCCGUCACACCAUGAGAGUUGAUAACACCCGAAGCCGGUGGCCUAACCGAAAGGAAGGAGCUGUCUAAGGUGGGAUUGAUGAUUGGGGUGAAGUCGUAAACAAGGUAACCGUA